UACGUAGGCAGCGAGCGUUGUUCGGAAUUACUGGGCGUAAAGAGUGUGUAGGCGGGGCUUUAAGUCAGGGGUGAAAUCCUGGAGCUCAACUCCAGAACUGCCUUUGAUACUGAGGAUCUUGAGUUCGGGAGAGGUGAGUGGAACUGCGAGUGUAGAGGUGAAAUUCGUAGAUAUUCGCAAGAACACCAGUGGCGAAGGCGGCUCACUGGCCCGAUACUGACGCUGAGGCACGAAAGCGUGGGGAGCAAACAGG
rnacentral:rRNA from 1 species